rnacentral:rRNA from 1 species
CCCUUAGAUGUCCUGGGCCGCACGCGCGUUACACUGAUGCAUUCAACGAGCCUAUAACCUUGGCCGAGAGGCCUGGGCAAUCUUGUUAACGUGCAUCGUGAUAGGGAUAGAUUAUUGAAAUUAUUAAUCUUGAACGAGGAAUUCCUAGUAAACGCAGAUCAUCAAUCUGCAUUGAUUACGUCCCUGCCCUUUGUACACACCGCCCGUCGCACCUACCGAUUGGAUGGUCUGGUGAAGCCUCGGGAUUGUGGUUCUUGCCGCUUUAUUGUGGCGUGACCGCGAGAACUUGUCUAAACCUUAUCAUCUAGAGGAAGGUGAAGUCGUAACA